rnacentral:rRNA from 1 species
GACGAACGCUGGCGGCGUGCUUAACACAUGCAAGUCGAACGGAAAGGCCCUGCUUUUGUGGGGUGCUCGAGUGGCGAACGGGUGAGUAACACGUGAGUAACCUGCCCUUGACUUUGGGAUAACUUCAGGAAACUGGGGCUAAUACCGGAUAGGAGCUCCUGCUGCAUGGUGGGGGUUGGAAAGUUUCGGCGGUUGGGGAUGGACUCGCGGCUUAUCAGCUUGUUGGUGGGGUAGUGGCUUACCAAGGCUUUGACGGGUAGCCGGCCUGCGAGGGUGACCGGCCACAUUGGGACUGAGAUACGGCACAGACUCCUACGGGAGGCAGCAGUGGGGAAUAUUGCAUAAUGGGCUGAAGCCUGAUGCAGCACAGCAGCGUGCGGUAUGACGGCCUUCGGUUUGUAAACCGCUUUCGCCUGUGACGAAGCGUGAGUGACGGUAAUGGGUAAAGAAGCACCGGCUAACUACGUG